rnacentral:rRNA from 1 species
GGGUUGUGAGGUUAAGCGACUAAGCGUACACGGUGGAUGCCCUGGCAGUCAGAGGCGAUGAAGGGCGUGCUAAUCUGCGAUAAGCGCCGGUAAGGUGAUAUGAACCGUUAUAACCGGCGAUACCCGAAUGGGGAAACCCAGUGUGACUCGUCACACUAUCAUUAACUGAAUCCAUAGGUUAAUGAGGCGAACCGGGGGAACUGAAACAUCUAAGUACCCCGAGGAAAAGAAAUCAACCGAGAUUCCCCCAGUAGCGGCGAGCGAACGGGGAGGAGCCCAGAGCCUGAAUCAGCAUGUGUGUUAGUGGAAGCGUCUGGAAAGGCGCGCGAUACAGGGUGACAGCCCCGUACACAAAAGCGCAUGUGCUGUGAGCUCGAUGAGUAGGGCGGGACACGUGGUAUCCUGUCUGAAUAUGGGGGGACCAUCCUCCAAGGCUAAAUACUCCUGACUGACCGAUAGUGAACCAGUACCGUGAGGGAAAGGCGAAAAGAACCCCGGCGAGGGGAGUGAAAAAGAACCUGAAACCGUGUACGUACAAGCAGUGGGAGCACAGGUUUACCUGUGUGACUGCGUACCUUUUGUAUAAUGGGUCAGCGACUUAUAUUCUGUAGCAAGGUUAACCGUAUAGGGGAGCCGGAGGGAAACCGAGUCUUAACCGGGCGUUAAGUUGCAGGGUAUAGACCCGAAACCCGGUGAUCUAGCCAUGGGCAGGUUGAAGGUUGGGUAACACUAACUGGAGGACCGAACCGACUAAUGUUGAAAAAUUAGCGGAUGACCUGUGGCUGGGGGUGAAAGGCCAAUCAAACCGGGAGAUAGCUGGUUCUCCCCGAAAGCUAUUUAGGUAGCGCCUCGUGAAUUCAUCUCCGGGGGUAGAGCACUGUUUCGGCUAGGGGGCCAUCCCGGCUUACCAACCCGAUGCAAACUGCGAAUACCGGAGAAUGUUAUCACGGGAGACACACGGCGGGUGCUAACGUCCGUCGUGAAGAGGGAAACAACCCAGACCGCCAGCUAAGGUCCCAAAGUCAUGGUUAAGUGGGAAACGAUGUGGGAAGGCCCAGACAGCCAGGAUGUUGGCUUAGAAGCAGCCAUCAUUUAAAGAAAGCGUAAUAGCUCACUGGUCGAGUCGGCCUGCGCGGAAGAUGUAACGGGGCUAAACCAUGCACCGAAGCUGCGGCAGCGACACUGUGUGUUGUUGGGUAGGGGAGCGUUCUGUAAGCCUGUGAAGGUGUGUCGUGAGGCAUGCUGGAGGUAUCAGAAGUGCGAAUGCUGACAUAAGUAACGAUAAAGCGGGUGAAAAGCCCGCUCGCCGGAAGACCAAGGGUUCCUGUCCAACGUUAAUCGGGGCAGGGUGAGUCGACCCCUAAGGCGAGGCCGAAAGGCGUAGUCGAUGGGAAACGGGUUAAUAUUCCCGUACUUGGUGUUACUGCGAAGGGGGGACGGAGAAGGCUAUGUUGGCCGGGCGACGGUUGUCCCGGUUUAAGCGUGUAGGUGUGUGUUCCAGGUAAAUCCGGUUCACUUUAACACUGAGGCGUGACGACGAGGCACUACGGUGCUGAAGCAACAAAUGCCCUGCUUCCAGGAAAAGCCUCUAAGCAUCAGGUAACAUCAAAUCGUACCCCAAACCGACACAGGUGGUCAGGUAGAGAAUACCAAGGCGCUUGAGAGAACUCGGGUGAAGGAACUAGGCAAAAUGGUGCCGUAACUUCGGGAGAAGGCACGCUGACACGUAGGUGAAGUGAUUUACUCACGGAGCUGAAGUCAGUCGAAGAUACCAGCUGGCUGCAACUGUUUAUUAAAAACACAGCACUGUGCAAACACGAAAGUGGACGUAUACGGUGUGACGCCUGCCCGGUGCCGGAAGGUUAAUUGAUGGGGUCAGCGCAAGCGAAGCUCCUGAUCGAAGCCCCGGUAAACGGCGGCCGUAACUAUAACGGUCCUAAGGUAGCGAAAUUCCUUGUCGGGUAAGUUCCGACCUGCACGAAUGGCGUAAUGAUGGCCAGGCUGUCUCCACCCGAGACUCAGUGAAAUUGAACUCGCUGUGAAGAUGCAGUGUACCCGCGGCAAGACGGAAAGACCCCGUGAACCUUUACUAUAGCUUGACACUGAACAUUGAGCCUUGAUGUGUAGGAUAGGUGGGAGGCUUUGAAGUGUGGACGCCAGUCUGCAUGGAGCCGACCUUGAAAUACCACCCUUUAAUGUUUGAUGUUCUAACGUGGACCCGUUACCCGGGUUGCGGACAGUGUCUGGUGGGUAGUUUGACUGGGGCGGUCUCCUCCUAAAGAGUAACGGAGGAGCACGAAGGUUGGCUAAUCCUGGUCGGACAUCAGGAGGUUAGUGCAAUGGCAUAAGCCAGCUUGACUGCGAGCGUGACGGCGCGAGCAGGUGCGAAAGCAGGUCAUAGUGAUCCGGUGGUUCUGAAUGGAAGGGCCAUCGCUCAACGGAUAAAAGGUACUCCGGGGAUAACAGGCUGAUACCGCCCAAGAGUUCAUAUCGACGGCGGUGUUUGGCACCUCGAUGUCGGCUCAUCACAUCCUGGGGCUGAAGUAGGUCCCAAGGGUAUGGCUGUUCGCCAUUUAAAGUGGUACGCGAGCUGGGUUUAGAACGUCGUGAGACAGUUCGGUCCCUAUCUGCCGUGGGCGCUGGAGAACUGAGGGGGGCUGCUCCUAGUACGAGAGGACCGGAGUGGACGCAUCACUGGUGUUCGGGUUGUCAUGCCAAUGGCACUGCCCGGUAGCUAAAUGCGGAAGAGAUAAGUGCUGAAAGCAUCUAAGCACGAAACUUGCCCCGAGAUGAGUUCUCCCUGAGACUUAGAGUCUCCUGAAGGAACGUUGAAGACGACGACGUUGAUAGGCCGGGUGUGUAAGCGCAGCGAUGCGUUGAGCUAACCGGUACUAAUGAACCGUGAGGCUUAACCUUACAACGCCGAAG